rnacentral:rRNA from 1 species
CUAACACAUGCAAGUCGAACGGUAGCAGGAAGUGCUUGCACUUCGCUGACGAGUGGCGGACGGGUGAGUAAUGCUUGGGAACUUGCCUUUAGGUGGGGGAUAACAGUUGGAAACGACUGCUAAUACCGCAUAAUGUCUACGGACCAAAGGGGGCUUCGGCUCCCGCCUUGAGAGAGGCCCAAGUGAGAUUAGCUAGUUGGUGGGGUAAAGGCCUACCAAGGCAACGAUCUCUAGCUGUUCUGAGAGGAAGAUCAGCCACACUGGGACUGAGACACGGCCCAGACUCCUACGGGAGGCAGCAGUGGGGAAUAUUGCACAAUGGGGGAAACCCUGAUGCAGCCAUGCCGCGUGUGUGAAGAAGGCCUUCGGGUUGUAAAGCACUUUCAGUUGUGAGGAAAGGUUGGUAGUUAAUACCUGCCAGCUGUGACGUUAACAACAGAAGAAGCACCGGCUAACUCCGUGCCAGCAGCCGCGGUAAUACGGAGGGUGCGAGCGUUAAUCGGAAUUACUGGGCGUAAAGCGCACGCAGGCGGCUUGUUAAGCUAGAGGUGAAAGCCCCGCGCUCAACGUGGGAACUGCCUUUAGAACUGGCAGGCUAGAGUCUUGGAGAGGGGAGUGGAAUUCCAGGUGUAGCGGUGAAAUGCGUAGAUAUCUGGAGGAACAUCAGUGGCGAAGGCGGCUCCCUGGCCAAAGACUGACGCUCAUGUGCGAAAGUGUGGGUAGCGAACAGGAUUAGAUACCCUGGUAGUCCACACCGUAAACGCUGUCUACUAGCUGUUUGUGUAUUUAAUACGUGAGUAGCGAAGCUAACGCGCUAAGUAGACCGCCUGGGGAGUACGGCCGCAAGGUUAAAACUCAAAUGAAUUGACGGGGGCCCGCACAAGCGGUGGAGCAUGUGUUUAAUUCGAUGCAACGCGAAGAACCUUACCUACUCUUGACAUCCAGGAAAUUUUCAGAGAUGAAUAGUGCCUUCGGGAAUCUGAGACAGGUGCUGCAUGCUGUCGUCAGCUCGUGUCGUGAGAAUGUUGGGUUAGGUCCCGCAACGAGCGCAACCCUUGUCC